rnacentral:rRNA from 1 species
GGUGAGUAACGCGUAGGGAUCUGUCCAUGGGUGGGGGAUAACUCCGGGAAACUGGAGCUAAUACCGCAUGACACCUGAGGGUCAAAGGCGCGAGUCGCCUGUGGAGGAACCUGCGUUCGAUUAGCUAGUUGGUGGGGUAAAGGCCUACCAAGGCGAUGAUCGAUAGCUGGUCUGAGAGGAUGAUCAGCCACACUGGGACUGAGACACGGCCCAGACUCCUACGGGAGGCAGCAGUGGGGAAUAUUGGACAAUGGGCGCAAGCCUGAUCCAGCAAUGCCGCGUGUGUGAAGAAGGUCUUCGGAUUGUAAAGCACUUUCGACGGGGACGAUGAUGACGGUACCCGUAGAAGAAGCCCCGGCUAACUUCGUGCCAGCAGCCGCGGUAAUACGAAGGGGGCUAGCGUUGCUCGGAAUGACUGGGCGUAAAGGGCGCGUAGGCGGUUUGGACAGUCAGAUGUGAAAUUCCUGGGCUUAACCUGGGGGCUGCAUUUGAUACGUAUAGACUA